rnacentral:tRNA from 1 species
GCCCCUGUAGUUUAAUGGAUAAAACAAGAGACUUCUAAGCUUUAGAUGCGGGUUCGAUUCCUGCCGGGGGCACAA